ACAUAAACACAGAGUUAGCAUCACAAAAACAACAUUUUGGAAGUGAACUCUCAUUUUGUCUUGGGUUCAGAAGGACACGUUCACUUUGGCCCCUCCCCCACGAAGGCUAAACUCACUCAGCCAAUAGUCAACCAGGUGUUUGUGUAGGCUACAUACCCUCCCUCCAAAGAAUUCCAAUUAUACGCGUUACAACUUUAAAAUGUAACCGUGAGCUGGUUUAAUGACUCCAGACACAUGGCAGAAACACAGAAUAACAUUA